AAUUGAAAAAGAGAGAAAGAAAAUUCCAGUCACCACCGUACCGGCAUUCACCCACGGGAAGCAAUCCCGCCACCGCGUGCCCUUUCAUACUUCUCAUCCGUUUCUCUCCUUCCAAUUUUCUUUGAUUUUCACUCUCAUGAGUACCCAUGGCUUUCCAGAAGAUCGAAGCAACCAAUUUCUAUACGGUUCUUCUAUGGUUUAUGGUCUACGCAAUAACCCACUGCUUUGCGGAAUCGUCGACGUGCUUGAUGGUGUACAAGGAAGGCGGCGCUCCGGCGGUAUUUCAAUCCCCGAAAUGCCCUCUGUGGGAGCAUUCUGACUACACUUUUCAAUCUCCCAACGCCCCUCAUUGCCAAAUUGCAAUGCAUCAGGGUCGAAGAAAGUAUCAGGAGGAUCGCACUCUUUGUGCUCUCGAUGUCCGAAUUCCCUUCCCAAGUAAAACAGGUCUUAUGGAGGUGCCUGUGGGAAUUAUAGCAGUUUUUGAUGGUCAUAAUGGUGCUGAAGCUAGUGAGAUGGCUUCAAAGAUUUUGUUGGAGUAUUUUGUCGUGCAUACUUAUUUUCUUCUUGAUGCCACUUAUUCUGGAAUUUUCAAGAGACCCUUUAAGACAUUUUCGAAUGAGAGGGAACAUGGUGCUAUCUUUAAUCAACUUAGUUGGAGGGACACAAUUUGUAACCGUGAUCUGGAACUUGGAAGGCUCAAAUACUUACUUCCAGCCAAUUUUGAUGAUGAUUUUCAUUUGGAAAUUUUGAAAGAAGCACUGUUGAGAGCUAUACAAGAUGUUGAUAAAACAUUUUCCAAGGAAGCACAUAAAAAUAAUCUCGUUUCCGGUUCUACUGCUACUGUUAUAUUAUUAGCCGAUGCACAAAUUUUGGUUGCAAACAUUGGUGACUCAAAGGCUUUCUUGUGCUCUGAAAAAUUUCAGUCACCUGCAGAGGCUAAAGCCACCUUUUUAAGGUUAUACAAGCAAAAAAGAUAUAGCGGUGCGUCACGUGCAAGAGGUUAUGGAAAUUCUCGACCAGAUUCAUAUGAUGGGCUGAAGCAUUUUUAUGUCAAAGAAUUGACAAGAGAUCAUCAUCCAGAUAGAGAGGAUGAAAGAUCUAGGGUGGAGAUUGCUGGGGGUCAUGUUGUUGAUUGGGGUGGUGUACCAAGAGUAAAUGGUCAGUUGGCAAUAAGCAGAGCAAUUGGUGAUGUGUCUUUCAAAAGUUACGGGGUUAUAUCUGCACCAGAGGUAACUGACUGGCAACCUUUGUCUGCUAACGAUAGCUUUUUGGUGGCUUCAUCUGAUGGCAUUUUUGAGAAACUGAGCUCACAAGAUGUUUGUGAUUUGUUGUGGGAAAUACACAAUGAUGGCAUGUCAAGUUUUGAACAUUCUCCUUCAUGCUCAUACUCACUGGCGGAUUGCAUUGUUAGCACUGCCUUUGAACGGGGAAGUAUGGAUAACAUGGCUGCUAUUGUGGUUCCUUUAAGACCUGCUAGUUCUUCUGGUAGAUUUCAGGAGGGGAGCUUUGUUGCACAGAGAGACUCAAGUUUUCCCAUAUCUGGAAUAGAAAAUCUUAUUAGAGAGCACUCAGGCAAGGGUAUCUCUUCCAGUGCCAUGCAACUGGAGCAUUCUCAUCCAGUUAUGUCUAAGUUCAACAGAUUAUUGGUUGAAGGAAGACAUAAUAAUCUGGGAUGUUUUUAUCUGUCUGAGAAUCUGGAUGAGUACAAGGAUUACAUGUUGCGAACUCAAAAUGAAGAUGAAUAUGUAUGUGAUCUACCCCAUGCUCUUCCAGAUUCCCUCAAUCAGCCAUAUGGUGGAUCUGUAAAUGUGUACACUGACCAAAGCUUGUGCUUUCAUCUUGGGAUGAUUGGAACUAAAGAUCAGUGCUUUAAUCCUGAAGGCUUCGCUAAUUUUAUUGGUUUGCUUGAAUCAAUUCCUUUUCACGAUCCUGGUCCAGAUUAUCAACUAUUUGAGCAUUCACCAUCUGCAUUGAGGUAUGUGUUGAAGAAAAGAUUUGCUCGUGGUUCCUAUGGUGAAGUAUGGCUGGCUUUUCAUGGAAACUGCCAGGAAGCAUUUAGUUCAGUAGGAGAGAAUGAUAAUGUUUCGUGCAACUCAUCUUUUGAUGCCAGAAACUAUGGCUGCUCUUCAAAUAGUUCUCAAGCCUAUUCUCAGGAGAAUAACUUGUUCAUCAUGAAACGUGUUAUGGUUGAAAGAGGUGCCGGAAUCUAUUUGAGUGGCUUACGGGAGAAAUAUUUUGGUGAAAUAUUUCUUAAUGCUUCUACCCGCCUGGGAGAUGUGUUAUCAACUAGAACAUCAAACUUUGUCUUUGAAGAAUCACCAUGGGGAUCUAAAGACUUAUUGACAAAGGACAAAUCACUGCAUCAUAAAGUAGGGGAAACUAGGCAUUUUGAAAAUAUUUCUCCGAAUCGUUUUCAAGGAAAGAGAGUGAUCUAUGAAGAAGGUUUAAAUCAUAUUGUGAGAUAUGUUGAAUCUUUUGAAUCUCGGUCUAAUGAAAUAUGGCUUGUAUUUCAUUAUGAAGGCACUUCCCUCUCGAAGCUCAUGUAUUCUAUUGAAAAUGCUGAUGAAGAGAAAGUUGAGCAAAAAAACCACGUUCAAAUUCUGCGACCUUCUAAGUGGUGGCAUUGGCUGAAAACAACAGAAGCAGGACAAGCGGAGAUGAAAAAUUUGAUACGUCAGUUGUUGAUGGCACUCAAGUCUUGUCAUGACCGCAAUAUCACUCACAGGGACAUUAAACCUGAGAACAUGGUGAUAUGCUUUGAAGAUCAGGCUACUGGAAAAUGCUUGAAUGGAAGUCGAAUGGAAGAUUGGAACGUCUCUACUAAAAUGCGCAUUAUUGACUUUGGUAGUGCUAUUGAUGAAUUCACAGUUAAGCAUCUUUAUGGGUCUACGGGGCCUUCUAGAGCGGAACAGACUUAUGAUUACACACCUCCUGAAGCCUUGCUUAAUUCAAGUUGGUAUCAGGAAAUGUCAGGUGCUACUUUGAAGUAUGAUAUGUGGAGCGUUGGUGUAGUGAUGUUAGAAUUGAUCUUAGGAUCACCCAAUGUUUUUCAGGUUAGUGAUUUAACCCGUGUUCUUUUGGACCAGCAUCUUCAAGGCUGGAAUGACGGCUUAAAGCAGCUAGCAUACAAGCUUAGGUCGUUCAUGGAGUUGUGCAUUUUAAUUCCUGGGAGCUCCUCAAGAAGUUAUCAAAAAAAUGGUCAUCAAGGAGAUUCCCCAGCAUCCUGGCAAUGCUCUGAAGAAGUUUUUGCCCGCCAGAUAAAGAGUAGAGACCCUCUUAAACUAGGAGCUCAAACUGGAGACAAUGUGGGAUUUUUUCUUUUUCAACUUGGUAUAGCAGAGGUUUCCAAAUGUUUGGGCUCUACGAUUGGUCCGCAAUCUACUACAAUGGAAUCCAGAGGACCGUUUAAAUGUGAAUGAUGCUUUGCAACAUACUUAUUUCCACCCUUCUCCUAAAGGAGGAUGAGUUUGCUGUUUGAGAUUUGUUAUACAUAGACUAGUUAUUCUUCCACCAAAGGUUUUGAUGCCGACAGUCAGAAGCUCAAUUGAUGCAUUAUUUUUUGUCUCUUGAGAAUACGACAUUCUUGUGAAUAAGAGUACCUGAAGCAUGCUGGAUGGAGCUUAGAGGCCCAUCUAGCGCCGAUUACCGACUCUUCAUGAGUAAUCCAACAAUACUGCAAACUGAUGAUGCUUACUUGACCAAGAUUCGAGGUGUUCUUUUGACGUUGUACUAAUAUCUUAUUUAUGUAAAGUUUGUAAUUUAAUGAUAAUUACAAAUGAGAUGAUUUUGAGUUCCGAACUUAUUUGUGUUCAUAACAGAUAGACCCCCUCCCCCCAACGAUAGGGGAAAGUCCUUUGAUAUGUUUGUAUCAUCCGCAUAGUAUUUUGGUGUGUUGAGGGCUUCUUCAAUCUUUAGAAAGUUGGCACAACAAUUAUGGGGUUGGGAUCGAACUUUCUGUUCUAAGGUGGAAGGUUGUGUAAAUUACUCUUUUAAGUUCUUUUGUAGUUAACAAUUAGGAUCUAGAUGUUUCUUUAAUGAUUGGAUUGGAAUUCCUUGUUAUAGGUUGGUGCUUCUUUUGCGGGGAUGUUCUUUUAUAUUUGUAUAUCCUUGAUGUCUUAAAAUAAAUAAAGAGCUUGACUGAGUUUUGGAUUUGUGAA